UACGAAGGGGGCUAGCGUUGCUCGGAAUCACUGGGCGUAAAGCGCACGUAGGCGGAUUGCUAAGUCAGGGGUGAAAUCCUGGAGCUCAACUCCAGAACUGCCCUUGAUACUGGCGGUCUCGAGUCCGGGAGAGGUGAGUGGAACUGCGAGUGUAGAGGUGAAAUUCGGUAGAUAUUCGCAAGAACACCAGUGGCGAAGGCGGCUCACUGGCCCGGUACUGACGCUGAGGUGGCGAAAGCGUGGGGAGCAAACAG
rnacentral:rRNA from 1 species